AGGGACAAGCCAGUGAGUACGUUUGAAUGUACUCGCAAACAUUAAGAACACGGGUAUAAUAUAAUAAGAGACAAUCAUACUCCGAAAUAUUUAUGAUGAUAAGUCUGCCAUGAAGUAGACGAAAAUCUGUGAUGCACGCGUACGGUUAAAACAUGAGUAUGCAAUACGGGAGUAAAAAUGGAAUGCACUGAGCGAGUGUCUGAAAAGACUCCUCGAAAGGUUGCAAAUAAAAUGACAAUGCCGCAGUCGGGCGUCUGAGCGACACCACAUAAAGGGCUUAUAAA